rnacentral:lncRNA from 1 species
CGAGCAGUUCCGAAAGCAAAUACAACUAAAGUCCGAGAAGAAGAAUACCAAAAGAUCAUCCUUUGAGGAUUAAUAAACCAUACAUCUAGAUCAGACUCAAGCAUCAAUUUAAAGUAAGUGAAUUUCUUAUGGUGAUUAAAUACUCGAUUUAAGACAAUAACAACACCUUCCAACUGUAUAGCUCUAUUAAUUCUUAAUUCGUCUCCCUAAAGGUCCAGCAAGGAACAUCCCUAAUUGAUAUAGUGGUAGUAUAGUAGGAAACCGGGGAAACCUGCCGCGUUUACAGGACGAACGCUGGAUUUUUUCACCAGGGGGCCAGUAACACCUAUUUUCUGAAAUAAGCACCCAAAUGUGAAUGCAUUCAGAGAUGUAUAUCCAUAUCCUAAAGAUGCACGAUUAUGCCCACGUCAUAACGAAUCAUAAUUCUGAUUCACAAGAUUAUAAGCGCCAUGCAUUUGGCAGUUGCCUUGUGCUGCCCCCCGCUGUGUGCGGCCGAGUUUGGUAGAAAUGAAAGCGACAACAAACGACAGAGACGAAAUUGAUAAUAAUAAUAAUAAUAGAGUUUAUUUACCACCUUUGGCAAAUGAAUUACAGUGGUACUACAAAUUCAGAAAGUAUUAAAAAUUUACAACAAUAUUUAAGAAAUAUAAAACUUCAUCGACUAUAAUGUACAUUUUACUGGAAUGAGAAGAUAGCUAUUAUCUAUGUAUACAAGUAAGACUAUUUUAGUUAACUAUGUUCAUUAAAAUAAUUCAACCAGGCAGCUCUCGGUAUGAAUGACUGUUUAAGUCUAUCUGUAAAUGAAAUUGGUGCCAAAAGUGGGUUACAACCUGUCCUUAAAUUAUAUUCAUGUGCGUUAGUUCUACAAAUCAAUCUUUUACACGAGUGAUUUUCUGAAUUUAGUAUAUUAUCAUAUUCUUUACUUGUUACAUAGUUUCUUCUUGACGCAAGCGGCUCAAUUUUAUUUCUCGGCUUUAUUUUAUUUAUAGUCUCGUCUUGACGCAAGCGACUCAAUUUUAUUACUUGUAGUAGUCGAUACCCACAGCAUGCCCCCACCAACACCAUAUUUCUUACUAUGGUGAUUAAGUAUUAUUCAAAAUAGCAAUAACAUUGGUUUAAUAUAAAAUAUACAUCAACCGUUGGCUAUAGCAAGCUUUUAACCUGCAUGGUAGUACUUAGCCAAUUGCGCAUUUAUCUUUUUAAGAAAUCAUUUUGAUGUGAGCCUAUCUGGGCUGGGUUUUAAUCUGACCUUCUAUUCAUACUUCAGCGUUUUUUCACACGAGAACAAGGAACAUGCACAAUAUUAAAAAGGGAACAAGGUUAACAUGUACAAUAUCACAAUUAUAUGUACCGGAGGAGUUUAUGAGAAUUGUAACUAUGGGUUCCACAGAACAAUUAUUCGAGUUUCUUUGCGCUGGUUUGUUGAUUAAGAUGCAUUAAUCGCACUGAUAAAACUGUAUAAUUCUUGGGUUGUGUUUUCUGCUCUUCGCUUCCGAUGCAUCGCUUUGGAAAUUUAAUUCAACUGAACAUUUCAUACAAUGAGAUCUUUUUUAAUCAUGAGAAGUUAUGAGGUGCGAAAUGAGCUCCAUUUUUUAUGACAAUCGAAAAAAUUAUCUACCCACUACCUGCAGGGGUUAAUUAAAAUAUUUUACCAUUUCUGUUUUUUUUCGUGUAUUGUGAUAAAUAGCAUAGAUGGCUAAAAUAUGGUAAGCCAAAAAUGUGCUUAUGACGAUCAUUGUUAUUAGUGGCACAAAAAAAUUAAUUGUGAAAAGUCAGAUUAUACUUUAAAGGAUUAUAUUUGGAUUAUAAACUAUUUCAUAUGUAAUCCUGUUAUAUAUAUACACGUCUAUAGUGUAAAGCACGUUUACCACAAGGCGCAUUCAUUCGCGCGAAAAGACUUUUUCUUUGUCGGCAUCGCUUACACGUCAUUACUUUUAUCUGGAUGACCCAGCGCCUAAUUCCAACAGCCCCCCCCCCCCUGAUUCCAAGGUCCCCAAUGGUGUAAUGAUUGCUCUAUUAGUUUUGCCAGUUCCUUCUGUUGCUAGAAGGGAGAAAACAGAAGUGUCCGGGGAGGGGGAACUUGUACUGUUUGCUAGAGUUACUAGAGUUACUUGGAAGGUCUCUUUUCGCAUGCGAUUGAAGAGAAAUCCGACAACUGCUUAUUGAGAAAUCGACCCCCCACACCCCCCCCCAACCAGCCAAGAGCACAUGGAUCAACCGCUGUUACCACCAACACUCCUCUAUUAUCCAGAUCAAUGAGCGCAAUUUUAAAAUCACGUGCCGCAGAAUGCAAAAAAUGUUCAAACUUCCUCCGGGUAAAAUUAAAUUUCAAGUUUUAAUGCAAAUUUUGGCUUUUGAAAUUUGCAAAAUAUAAAAAUGUUGUCAUUCAAAAUCGGCAUCUUAUUCCUAUUUCCUGCUGACUAUGGUCUUGGUCGGCUGGUUGGUUACAUUGUACUCGCAUACAAGCAGUAAAUGCUGGCGACCUCUAACAGAUGUAUGUUACGAUUGCUACAGAACCGCCGGCCCCCUUCAACCCAGUGAGUGAACCUUCCUCGCGGGUGGUACCCCCAUACCUGCGGCUUUUUUGCAACUCUGCGUGACCGCCCAAGUGGGCGAAAUAGGAACUUUUUAGUCAUGAAAAAAUGACAGCUUUUGGCCGCUACCUUCAUCCCUUCGGAAAACAUCCUGUCCAUAUACUCACGCUGAUAUCUCUAGUGACAGAUGCAGCAUUAAGGUUACAACCUUACAUGCAGUGCAAGUGGAUUAAAAUAUGUAUUUUUCAACGUUUUCCCAAAAUAGCAUGCGAUAGAGGACGUUUUUCGUGAAACGAUUACGCAUACAUUUUCAAGAAAAAAAAAACAACAAAAAAACAAAAAAAACACUUUUGAGUGAGUUGCUAAUUAAACCUCGAUUAGAUAGCUAUAAAUAACUUGAAACGAUCAUAAUAAUUAAACUUUAUUUGAAGAAGGUGUGUAUAAUACAUAUAUAGCACAAAUUCAAAGAACUACAUGAACUACAUUAUAAUUGUAUCUAAAAGUGUUUGUAACCUCUUGUUCAGUUAAAGGUAUUAAGUGAUGUUGAUUGUCUUAUCUCAAGUGGUAAACUAUUAUAUAAAGUUGCACCACUGUCCGACUGACUGUAUAGCAAAGCAUCAAUUUUAGCAGUUCUGGAAUUUUUGGUUAUAAAGAUGUUUGCAAAGUGAUAGGCCAUCCCACGCGUAGAUGAUCAAGUUUAGUUAUCAGAAAUCAGUCUAAAAAUACUUGAAUUAUCUAUCCAUCGCCCAUCGGCAUUGCCAUUGGUUUUUUAAAAUUCUUGAACUCUUGACUCCCGAAUUUUCAAUGCCAUAAAAUAUGGGUCUGAACAACCUGUGUAUCGGUUGACCUCUCAAAAAGAACUACCUAUGGCUAUGUAUAGAUUGUAUGCCUUCGACUCUAAAUUAAGUUGCCGUGGGGUUUGAACUACUUGAAAAGGAUUAAACACAUGGUCUUCGACGUUUCGAAGGACUGCCUUUCUUCAAAGCCAAAGGCUGUCGUCUGUCGAAGCGGUUUGUUCAAAACGACCUAAUGUUUUGAAUAUAUUUGAGGUAAUUCAGACACAAACCACGGCAGCCUAAAAUAUAUAAACAUUGUAGUAACAGAGAAUAUUUCCAAAUACCUUGAACAGUAGACGGAUGGGUAGAGCCAAUGGCAAUGAACCACGUCCACGGCCGCAGAGAGUAGAGUGUUAUAAAUCACGACUCAACUCAACUUAAGAAUGUGAUGUGGGUUGCUUGAGAAUUAUAUGACUCAUAUUAUUAUUGGAUUCACAACUUUAUUAAAUGUCUGAAGCAUGUUUACCGGCUUUGUUAGGUUUCUGUUCGCCCAAAAGUGAAGUGAUGAAUGUGACAGCCAACAUCGCCCAAAUGCAAAAAAAUAAUUUGAAUAUUUACAUGAGCGAUAACGCUAUUGAGGCAGCGUUUACACUGUACCGUUUUCGUAGCGUUCUCGUAUUGUUCUUAAUCCUCAAGGGAACGCAAGACAUAGUCUAGUUCUCUCGAACAAUACGAGUACGCUACGAAAACGGUACAGUGUAAACGCUGCCUAAGGAUACUCCAGGGACAAUAAAGUAUUCAUUUUUCUCGCAUGAGGGUGCAGGGCCGUAGAUUUAUAUUGUUUUAAAUUCCCUUAGGCUUAGGCAUGGACAACAAUCCAAAACGAAUGUAAAAUUCUUCUAUAGAAUUAUUGCAUAUAGGAUUUCCCUAUUCCGGAACACAUGCAGCUAUUUAACACUUAGACAACGAGGCCGAGUUGUCUUUGAGCGAAUAGUCAACGAGGCGAAGCCGAGUUGACUAUUUGCUCAUAGACAACGAGGCCGAGUUGUCUAAUUGUUUUAGUAUAAACUUUAACAUCAAUUUACAACUACAUGUAGGCUGCAGACACAAUACAAAAAUAUACACAAAAACCAUUAAAUGUAAACAAAUAUUUUAGUUUAUAAUAUUUUAGUUUAACAAUAUUUUGUUCUAAUUACUAAUGUUUGACCAUAUAAAAUAUCUUGUUCUAAUUGCUGAAUUUGUAACAACGGCGAGGAAGCUCUUGCGAUGGCUUCCUAACUGAUGUCGAGCAAUUCCAACUUCUUUACUAUUGAAAGACUAUUAUAAAUAUAGGUACAUGUGAACUGUAGUCUUAAUUAACUUAAUUUUAAGUUUUUGAAAGACUUUUAUAAUAGGUAGAUUGUAUUAUAGUUUUGAACAAACUUAUUUUAUAUCUAUUUUAUUGCUUGUAUUUUUUAUCUAGAAGUAGAGUCUUAUUAAUAUUAUAGCCUGCGUAACAGUCGCUUUAUUUUUUAAGGUUUUGAGGAUAUUUUUAUUUGAGGAUCCUCAAAUAAAAAUAUCCUCAAAACCUUAAAAAAAAAGCGACUCGCGCAGGCUAUGUCUUAUAUGCACUGAAAUGUUUUACCCUCUGUAAAGAUUUUGUAAUAUAUAAAUAACAAAAUUAUCCACCAAACCCAGCAUUCAAAUUCAACCAAGUGAAGACUGAAGUGUAAAAAAUAUCUUUCAGCGCGAUAUAGCGAUACCGACAAAGGGAAAAGUCGCUUCACGCGAACAAAUUAACCUCUCAAGAAAUUAUCCAACAAUAGUCUAUACCUAAUCUUUCCUUUUAACAUUUCCUUACAGAUGAAUACCAAGCAAUUUCUCACAAUCGUCACCAUUCUUUCGAUGGUGUUUCAGUCCCAACAAACGUCUCCCACAUCCAGCGCCUUGAACACAUGUUUAACCAAGUGUACUAACAAGUACACAAGUUGUAAAACUACUGCAAGUAACCCAACCCAACUAAAAAAAUGUGUAACGGCCCAAACCAACUGUAACAAUAAAUGUGUGAAGAACGGCAAGGUCAAACGAAGUGUAUUAUGGAGAUUAUAGCAAAGAACACUUGAGCGACUUCAAGAUGGUGCAGAUAUUAGAACAUUAUAACACCAAAAAUAUACAUUCAGGAAGGCAAAUUAGUCAUGCAUGUAAAUAGGUAUUUUACUCACUGAUCUCUAGACUAGACUGGAUAGAGGCCAGAAUUUCGAGUCAAUUUCGAGUUGGGACAAAUCAAUUAGCCAUUCUGAAGUUGAUGAGUGGACUGGGGACGAGUGCCCAAAUUAAGAAAUUAACCAAAUCACUAAAAAGACCACCUCAAAAUUAGUAAGUAUACGAAGUUUGAAAACAUUUACAUGAAUACCCUUCGAAUAAAAAUAUUCAAAAACAAAAAUUACAAUACAUUUCAUAGUAAAUAUCGCGAUUUUCGAAAGCUUAUUAUUCGAAGGGUAUUCAUGUAAACGUCUUCAAACUUUGUCUACAUACUAAUUUUGAGGUGGUCUUUUUAUUGAUUUGGUUCAUUUCUUAAUUUGGGCACUUUUUAACACUCGUCCCCAGUCCACUCAUCAACUUCGGAAUGGCUAAUCUAUCCAUUUCUAGCUUUGAGAUCAGUGGUUUUACGAAGCACUAUAACACGGAAUAAUUACAUACAGAGGUUUCACUUCUGCGAAAAAAACCGUAACUCCGUAACGUAGUUUUACUGCGCAUAUCUGGCGUUCAUAUUCUUAGUAAGUGCCCUAAAGAGACACAUUCACCCCCCGGAACAUUAAAUUUCAAUAUGUUUUCAGGGGGUGACGGCCUCUCUUUAGGGCACUUGCUAUUAAAGAACAUGGCGGACUGGGGAUUAACCUGAAGUGAGACCUCUGUAUGUAAUUACUCUGUGACUAUCUAAUGUAUAACUCAUCAAUAUUUAAGAAAAUGUACUGGUAUCAUUGGCCGGAGAGAGAAUCGUUUAAGAACGCUAGACUAAUAGUACUUCUGGGAUAUUGUUGUUAAGAACGUAUAAAUUUGGUGGCACUGAAAACUACGGUAGUCAAAUGCAU